rnacentral:rRNA from 1 species
UACGAAGGGGGCUAGCGUUGUUCGGAAUUACUGGGCGUAAAGCGCGCGUAGGCGGGUUGGUAAGUCCGCUGUGAAAGCCCGGAGCUUAACUCCGGAGGGUCGGUGGAUACUGCCAGUCUUGAAGGUGCUAGGGGGGAGAUGGAAUUACCGGUGUAGCGGUGAAAUGCGUAGAUAUCGGUAGGAACACCAACGGCGAAAGCACUCUGCUGGGCCGACACUGACACUGAGAGACGAAAGCUAGGGGAGCAAAUGGG